rnacentral:rRNA from 1 species
GAUGAACGCUGGCGGCGUGCCUAGUACAUGCAAGUCGAGCGAAUGGAUUAAGAGCUUGCUCUUAUGAAGUUAGCGGCGGACGGGUGAGUAACACGUGGGUAACCUGCCCAUAAGACUGGGAUAACUCCGGGAAACCGGGGCUAAUACCGGAUAACAUUUUGAACCGCAUGGUUCGAAAUUGAAAGGCGGCUUCGGCUGUCACUUAUGGAUGGACCCGCGUCGCAUUAGCUAGUUGGUGAGGUAACGGCUCACCAAGGCAACGAUGCGUAGCCGACCUGGGAGGGUGAUCGGCCACACUGGGACUGAGACACGGCCCAGACUCCUACGGGAGGCAGCAGUAGGGAAUCUUCCGCAAUGGACGAAGGUCUGACGGAGCAACGCCGCGUGAGUGAUGAAGGCUUUCGGGUCGUAAAACUCUGUUGUUAGGGAAGAACAAGUGCUAGUUGAAUAAGCUGGCACCUUGACGGUACCUAACCAGAAAGCCACGGCUAACUACGUGCCAGCCGCCGCAGUAA